GAUGAACGCUGGCGGCGUGCCUAAUACAUGCAAGUCGAGCGAACGGACGAGAAGCUUGCUUCUCUGAUGUUAGCGGCGGACGGGUGAGUAACACGUGGAUAACCUACCUAUAAGACUGGGAGAACUUCGGGAAACCGGAGCUAAUACCGGAGAAUAUUUUGAACCGCAUGGUUCAAAAGUGAAAGACGGUCUUGCUGUCACUUAUAGAUGGAUCCGCGCUGCAUUAGCUAGUUGGUAAGGUAACGGCUUACCAAGGCAACGAUGCAUAGCCGACCUGAGAGGGUGAUCAGCCACACUGGAACUGAGACACGGUCCAGACUCCUACGGGAGGCAGCAGUGGGGAAUCUUCCGCAAUGGGCGAAAGCCUGACGGAGCAACGCCGCGUGAGUGAUGAAGGUCUUCGGAUCGUAAAACUCUGUUAUUAGGGAAGAACAUAUGUGUAAGUAACUGUGCACAUCUUGACGGUACCUAAUCAGAAAGCCACGGCUAACUACGUG
rnacentral:rRNA from 1 species